rnacentral:misc_RNA from 1 species
CCGGAUCACUAACGCCUGCUUUCGCACCUGUUCGACCUGU